GGAUAACCUACCCUUAGGACUGGGAUAACCCUGGGAAACUGGGGAUAAUACUAGAUAGGCAAUUUUUCCUGGAAUGGUUUUUUGUUUAAAUGUUUUUUCGCCUAAGGAUGGGUCUGCGGCCGAUUAGGUAGUUGGUUAGGUAACGGCUUACCAAGCCAUUGAUCGGUACGGGUUGUGAGAGCAAGAGCCCGGAGAUGGAACCUGAGACAAGGUUCCAGGCCCUACGGGGUGCAGCAGGCGCGAAACCUCCGCAAUGUGAGAAAUCGCGACGGGGGGAUCCCAAGUGCCAUUCUUAACGGGAUGGCUUUUCAUUAGUGUAAAGAGCUUUUGGAAUAAGGGCUGGGCAAGACCGGUGCCAGCCGCCGCGGUAACACCGGCAGCUCUAGUGGUAGCAGUUUUUAUUGGGCCUAAAGCGUCCGUAGCCGGUUUAAUAAGUCUCUGGUGAAAUCCUGUAGCUUAACUGUGGGAAUUGCUGGAGAUACUAUUAGACUUGAGACCGGGAGAGGUUAGAGGUACUCCCAGGGUAGAGGUGAAAUCCUGUAAUCCUGGGAGGACCGCCUGUUGCGAAGGCGUCUAACUGGAACGGUUCUGACGGUGAGGGACGAAAGUUAGGGGCGCGAACCGGAUUAGAUACCCGGGUAGUCCUAACUGUAAACGAUGCGGACUUGGUGUUGGGGUGGCUUUGAGCUGCUCCAGUGCC
rnacentral:rRNA from 1 species